AUGCCACCCGGCACCUGCAUGCCAGGAGCCUUUCUUUGGGUCGCCCCCAAGUUCCCAAACCGUUUCCAAAAGAAAAGCAAAGAAACGCUCCUCUCCGACGAUGGAAGUCCUGGCACUGCCUCCAGCUUGGCUCUCUUCAUCUUCUCCUUCUUCUGGCAGAGCCCCAGCAUCUCCAAGGAGACACAGCACCUAGAGCGGGCCAUGGCCAGCUGCCUCCCACCAGGGAGAAGAAGACUACAUCUAAAUCCCCACAGUGGCUU
rnacentral:lncRNA from 1 species